UACGUAGGGUCCGAGCGUUGUCCGGAAUUAUUGGGCGUAAAGAGCUCGUAGGCGGUUUGUCGCGUCUGCUGUGAAAUCCCGAGGCUCAACCUCGGGCCUGCGGUCGAUACGGGCAGGCUAGAGUUCGGUAGGGGGGACUGGAAUUCCUGGUGUAGCGGUGAAAUGCGCAGAUAUCAGGAGGAACACCGGUGGCGAAGGCGGGUCUCUGGGCCGUAACUGACGCUGAGGAGCGAAAGCGUGGGGAGCGAACAGG
rnacentral:rRNA from 1 species